rnacentral:misc_RNA from 1 species
UAAUCCUUCCAUUCAAGAGCUUUCUCUGCAUCAGGACUAAAGCUGGUUCCAAACCUGACGCUGUUGGUAGAGGAAAGCUCCUUGGAAUACUUCCUCUUCUCCUCUGCUGGUAACCCAAAGAAACGAUGGGUUGCAUCUUUAACUCCAUCGAGUACCUCAAGUGGCACCCCAUGGUUAACCAGCUGAAAGAAACCAAAUUUCUCAGCAGCUUCGCAGACUGAUUCAGCGACUUUAGGAUCGUUAUCCCAGUUAGACAGGUCAAUGACGGGAAUGGAUUCUUGUGGGAUGAUAUUGAUCAAUGCUUCUUGGGGUUGAAUAUAUUGGGAAGGAAG